rnacentral:pre_miRNA from 10 species
AGCCGUGGCCAUCUUACUGGGCAGCAUUGGAUGGAGUCAGGUCUCUAAUACUGCCUGGUAAUGAUGACGGCGGA